rnacentral:rRNA from 1 species
AACGUAGGUUCCGAGCGUUAUCCGGAUUUACUGGGCGUAAAGCGCGUUCAGGCGGUUUGGCAAGUCGGGCAUGAAAUCUCUCGGCUCAACCGGGAGAGGUUGUCCGAUACUGCUGGACUUGAGGGCGGGAGAGGGCGGUGGAAUUCCCGGUGUAGUGGUGAAAUGCGUAGAGAUCGGGAGGAACACCUGUGGCGAAGGCGGCCGUCUGGGCCGACCCUGACGCUGAGGCGCGAAGGCGUGGGGAGCGAACAGG